rnacentral:lncRNA from 1 species
CUUUCUCUCUGGCUCUGUUUACUUAUCUGUGAAAAAAAAAAAAAAAAACAGGCCGAGCAGGCUCAGCCUGUACCUGCUUAUAAGGACAGAUAGAACAAAAGGGGACAGAGUGAUUGGGAAAUAUCUCUGGGGGCAUUGUGUGAUGUCAAGACCAAGGGGUGGCAUGGUGCCAGGCGCUUCUGUGAGGGCAGCUGGUGAGACAGGAUGAAGGAAAAGACUCUCGCUGCCUCCACCACCAGAGGCCUGUUACUGUGCUGGGCACUCUGCACAUAACAUUCUCUCGAAGAUGUGUUGUUGAUGACUGACUUUUCCUUUGAAGGGAGUUGGACCUGCAGGUGUUGUCAAGGAAAGGGGUUUCCAGGCCUACAACUAAAAUGUGAACAAGUUUCUGCCACAUGUUCCUGCUGCCACCAAGCCUUUCCACCAUGCCAUCCCCACCAUGAUGGACUUUCCAUCCAUUGCAUUGCCGGCUGUACCAUGACAACAGUGAGAAGACUGCUAAUAGAAUCUUAUCUUCACAUCUUCCAAAAACCUAGCAUGAGAUGUUGCCCUCUUGUAGCAGAUGGCUCUGGGAUCCACGUCCACACCCCAGUCCCAGCUCUUCUGUUUCAGUGACUCCAGGGAGCUGCUGACCGGUCAUCUCUGGAUGCUGUGUCCCUAGUGCUUCUGAGACUCAUCCCCAAAUCUCUAAGUGGAACGUCCAGCCGCACCCGACUCUUAGCAAAGCCAGAGGUUAGUUAGCUCCGGCUGAAACUUUCUCCUGCUCUCCUGAUGGGAGGAUUGACAGUGAUCCUGGUACCAGGGCCAAUUCUUGCCUGAGAUUCAGCAAGAUGGCACAGAAAGCCUUGCCUUGCC